rnacentral:lncRNA from 1 species
AAUUAGGAGGUGGAGGCAAUAUCAGUUCAGGGUCUUUGGCCACAUGAGGAGAUUGAGGCCAGCCAUGUGCUGUGGCAUGAGGAACAACGACCAGCAAUGAGAAAAUGAAAUAUAAAAAUUGGCUGCUCAGCUUUGAUACUGCUGACUGCUGACCUGGCCAGGUGCAUCCUGUUCACCAAAGUCUCACCCAACAGCUGUGGCUUCACCCACCAAAAAUCACAAGCAAGUGGCCCAGCUCCAAAUCCAAAUGUGUGCAUGCAUUGCCAUGGCUCAGGUACUGUUUCAACUCAGCCGCACAGCUCUCAGGAUCCAUGAGAGUCCAGCAUGCACACACCUGAAAGAAACAGUCCUGGAGCCUCAAGCAGUACUGAGGGGUGUGGGCCUCUGCCUCACUCCCCAGUGGAACUGAUCUUGGCAUUCUUUUGGACAGAAGAGAGCAAAGUGAUGGGGACAAGCAACCUGCAGUCUACCAUGCUGGAAGGGCAUGGCUUGAAUCCACCAGACCUAGACCUUUCUGCUAUUGACG